UACGGAGGGGGCUAGCGUUGUUCGGAAUUACUGGGCGUAAAGCGCACGUAGGCGGCUUUGUAAGUUAGAGGUGAAAGCCCGGGGCUCAACUCCGGAAUUGCCUUUAAGACUGCAUCGCUAGAAUUGUGGAGAGGUAAGUGGAAUUCCGAGUGUAGAGGUGAAAUUCGUAGAUAUUCGGAAGAACACCAGUGGCGAAGGCGACUUACUGGACACAUAUUGACGUUGAGGUGCGAAAGCGUGGGGAGCAAACAGG
rnacentral:rRNA from 1 species